UCCUGUAAAUUUAUUGCACCGCUUUUGUUUUAUCUACAUCCAUCGCUCUGACAUACGACUUGAUUCAUCAUGUCCUCCAGCUCAGAGGGUGGGAGGUAAAACAGCUACUUUGUCAGGUGAUACAACGUGUCUUCUUUCAGUUGACAUUUCUUCGUGCCGGACGGCAUAAUCUGCGAACUUGAAAGUGUUUUCUAGUGCCCAUUCACUUUGUGUGUUUUUGUGUUCCCUUUGCCGCGCUGCACCUGUCGGCUUUAGCGGCGUGGCCCACCUUGAAUGCAUGUUAAUCGAAAACCAGAGAGAGAGAGAGACAGAGAGGCAUAGCAAGGGAGUGAGAGAGCUUGUAUAUUAUUAAGUGCCUUUUUUGUAAAAAAAAAAAAAAAAAAAA